rnacentral:rRNA from 1 species
AUACGGAGGGUCCAAGCGUUAUCCGGAAUCAUUGGGUUUAAAGGGUCCGCAGGCGGUCAAUUAAGUCAGAGGUGAAAGCCCAUCGCUCAACGAUGGAACUGCCUUUGAUACUGGUUGACUUGAGUUAUACGGAAGUAGAUAGAAUAAGUAGUGUAGCGGUGAAAUGCAUAGAUAUUACUUAGAAUUCCGAUUGCGAAGGCAGUCUACUACGUAUAUACUGACGCUGAGGGACGAAAGCGUGGGGAGCGAACAGGAUUAGAAACCCUAGUAGUCC